AAAGGUAGAGAGGGAGAAGUGACGAUGGUGAUCGUUGCUGCCGCGGCCGAUAUGGAACCCAAGCAGUGGCGAAGGGAAUCGCAAGGCUCUUCCCUGACCAUUUUCUACUGUCCCUGCGCGAGGUGAGGGCCCCGGCUCGGCCUCUGCAAAACUUUGGGGCGCUGGCGCGGAGGAGGAGACAGGAUUUCUCCCGUGACUUUUGUAACUGCGUCAGGGCAAGAUGGCGCUGGGUCUCUUUGGGGCGCGGGGGGAGAGGCACGUCCACCGCCGCAGCGCAUGUGACCGGGCUGCAUUCCUGUGGGGUUUGGCUCCGACCCAGGCCGGGGCGGGGGAGGGGACAGGGCUUGGGCGGAGGAGACUGUGGUGCGGUCGGCGUUGGCGGCCUGAAGAGGAAGAGAUGACUGUUGGAAAGCGUUCCCCUCCCCCAUACGGCAGAACAGCUGCGGCUCCCAGGGGAAAGCCCCCGCAGGACAGUCCUCGUGGGGUGUGACGGCUGUUGGUGGAGAAGGCUGAGUUAUGAACUUCGGUUUGGUUUCUUUCUGCAAUCCCUGCAGGGCCAUAAAUUCUUGGCCCUUAAGACUGGGUGGCCCAUAACAGACUCAGUGAUACCAUCAGUAACCACAAUUCACACUGGAGUCAAGUUAUCUGAUUCCCACACCAGUUGGAGAACUGGAGAUUCCUUAGAACUUUUAACUGUCAUGUUUUCAAAGUUGACAUGGAAAAUUUUACAUGAAGCUUAAAAAUACAACUAAUCUGUGGUGAUAGAGACGAGAAGAGUUAAGCUCUAAAAUUAGAAGAGCAGUUCGUUUUGAGGCAGCACUGAUUGGGAGGGAGCAUGGAGUAUAUAAUUACACAUUUCUAUGUAAUGUAAAAAUGUAUAGAUUUAAGAUUUAUGCAUUUUAUGUAAAUUUUACUACAAUAAAACGAAAAUGAAAGAA
rnacentral:lncRNA from 1 species